CUGCGUCGGUGACGGUUGAGUGCCCCUGCUCGAGCUUGAAUAAUCAACCCUCGUGUGUUUACAUCGGAAUCGGCUCCUUGGUGGUCUUUGGGGACUUCACGAUCUGGGCACAACAACAGCAAGUCUCAGUUCCAACUAGAGACAGCAAGCAGUUGCUGCUGUUGGGCAUCGCAGGUCCAGGACAGAAAGGUCCCUGAAGGCAGGCGCUGUGUCUCUGGUUUUGUAGACUCUGGCUGAGUAUCUGGCUGGCACUCAGGGAUGUUUAAUGAAGGGAUAAAUUAAUGAACCUAAUCAGGACCUGGAGGGCUGCUUUGUGACUCUAGGCAGGUCUCCAGCCUCUCCCCCAUGAAAGGGAUAUAAAAAUACCGACUUUAUCCGGUGGAAGAUUUCAAAAACCACCUCAAUUUUCCCGCUAGUCAUUCUUCUAAACUGGCACAAAGAAUACAGCCAUGCACCUGCCUCGCAAGUCCUGAGUUCAAUCUCUGGUACCAAAAAGCCCCCCAAUUUCCUGCAAUUAUGGCAAAUUAAAACUAGCCCAGCUACAGAAUAACUCCAGUUUGGCCUCCGGUCACAACCGAGA